rnacentral:rRNA from 1 species
UACGGAGGGUGCGAGCGUUGUCCGGAAUCACUGGGCGUAAAGGGCGCGUAGGCGGCGUUUUAAGUCGGGGGUGAAAGCCUGUGGCUCAACCACAGAAUGGCCUUCGAUACUGGGACGCUUGAGUAUGGUAGAGGUUGGUGGAACUGCGAGUGUAGAGGUGAAAUUCGUAGAUAUGUCAAAGAACACCAAUUGCGAAGGCAGCUUACUAUGGUAUUAUUGACGCUGAGGCACGAAAGCGUGGGGAUCAAACAGG